CCCCUGUCCCCUGGGCCUGAUGCCUCCCCACCCCACCCCGGCGUCCCCAUCCCUUCCUGCCCCUCGCCGGGCCGCCGCGUGCUUGGUGGCCUCGUGGUGCUGCCGGGUCUGGGGCGGCGAGCGAACAAGCCAGAGAAAGGUGAUGGCGCUGGCCGCGCGCUCCCAGGGCUGCCUCCCGGCCCUUGUGCCCCGCACGAGUCCCUCCAUUUUGGAGGAGCGAGCUUUCCCAUUUUGUUUUCCCCAAACACUUUCGGCGUGUAGAUGCAUAUUCGUUUGUACUAUGAUUUAGGGCGGGGGUUGUGGUCCUUUUUGUUGUUGAUCUUUCUAAACCUCUAUUUCUAGCUCGAAAGUUGCGGAGUUUUUUUGUAUUUUACGGUUUUGUGCUUGAGACCAAAUUUGUGCUUGAGACCGAUACCGAGCAAAUCCAGCUCGGUAUCGUUCUCAAACGAUACGGUUGCAUUCUUAAACCCUCUUGGUAGCUUCGUUCUAAAGGCUUCCAAGAUAUGAGUGAAUGCUAUAGAGAUUGCAGGGGAGUCCAAAGGGCUUUGCUUCUCCUGUGGCUCAGUCUUAUUUCAUACCUGCGACAUCUUUUAAGAGAGAUUUACAAGAGGGGAAUCGUGUCACCAAAACCUUUGUGAUCUUUGAAUUUCGGAGGUUGAAGGUGGGAGGAGAGGCUUGCUUUGCUUAUGAUAAUUACUCAAGAGACCCAGCGGCUGGAACUGUCUCCAUCUUGUAAACUGCUCAUCCAGGUGCCUGAGAGGGAAGGAAAGCGCUCCUGCCCAGAAAUGUCCUAUUGUGUAUAGCUCAUUGACCAGAACUAUUUUUAUGACCCUGACAAAUCACAAGAAGAGAGCUUGAGUCAGG